UUUUUUUUUUUUUUAGGGCUGCACCCAUGGCAUAUGGAAGUUCCCAGGUAAGGGGUCAAUUUGGAGCUGUAGCUGCUGGCCUAAGCCACAGCCACAGCAAUGACAUAUCCAAGCUGUGUCUGCAACUAUACCACAGAUCAUGGCAAUGCUGGAUUCUUAACCUACUGAGUGAGGCCAGAGAUUGAAUCUGCAUCCUCAUGGAUACUAGUUGGGUUUGUAACCCGCUGAGCCAUAAUGGGAACUCCCAGGAAAACACUGACUUUUUUAAGAAAAAACUUUCCUUAGUCUAUUCUUGAGAGUCAGUGAACUGUUACCAUAGCUAUCUUUGUUAAAUAGUACAUUAUUAGAUCCAUGAGGCCAUUUUCCCAGAUGUGAUUGGGGAUUGAAGAUCAAAUCUUAAGGGAUGGAAAAAAGUUGAAAGGAUCUAAAAUCAAGUGACAAACUUUCAGUCUUUUGAGAAACUGCAUUACAAUGAGAAUUCCUUAGAUACCAGUUACUUUGAUGUUGGUCCUUUUGAUAAACAUGUAAAAAAUAGUCUUGCAGAAAGAGAAAUCUAUAGCAUUUUUUUAUAAAAUUAACAAUUCUCUAAAUCACUUACAAGACUGACACUUUCUGACUAUAUCCAGUCUCUUGAGAUAGAACAUGAUGAAUGAUAGUAUGAGAAAAAGAAUGUUUACUGGAUCACUAUGCUGUAUAGCAGAAAUUGACAUAACACUGUAAAUAACCUGUCCUCAAAAAAAAAAAAAAAAAGACUGACCCUUUCUGGCACAUUAAAAAUAUCUAGAAUUUAGCCAGGCUGGGUAAAUACAGAAGUUUUCAGAAAAUUUCUCUAUAUUAAAGUUUCAAAAUCAUUUCCUUUUUUUUUUUUUCUGAAGUGAGAUGUGAUUGGUUGACAAGCAGUUUUAAGUCUUGUUUGUGAUCAUGGGACCACACAUUGAUGGUUUUAUUGUCAUAGGUACCAGGUGAGAGCAUUUCUUGGGAGUCCAAGAAACCAGAGAUGGGAGAUGCUGGGUGGUCUUAGACAUGUUGUUUUCCAGGCCUAAUCUCACCUUUGGUGCACUGUGUUUAAUAAUACUACCUAUCAUAACUUUGGUGAGAAUUUGUGCCAAAUACUACUGUGUGCUUGGUGAUACAUAAUUGCUUCAUACAUGACAGGUGUUUUAUUAUUUAUUUGAUUAUACAAUGGGAUGGGUUGUCUUUUUUUUUUCCCUUCUCAUUUUAACUUUUCUGUCUUCAUCUUUUUUCCCCCCUUUUGUCUUCCUCACUGAACCAUCAAUAUGCAGUCUAUUUUGAAUAAGUGCUUUGACCAGAAACAUCAUGAGUAGAUUUUUGUUUGUUUUGGUUUUUUGAUCUUUAAGUUAUAAGGAAACUGGGACCUAGAGUUUAGAUAACUUGACCAAAGUCAACCAACUCUUACAGAAUAGAAUUUGAUUUGGAUGGCAAAUGUCAUUUUCUUGGAUUUAUGCUCCUCCAUUUAUUCUUGGACUCAAGGUUGAUGGUUUUUGGAUUUUGGUGUUGAAAACUGAUAUGUAACUCCUGUAACUUAGGGUUAAAUCAUCCAUCUGAUUGAUUGGUAGAGGCCUUUGGCUCUUUGAUAAUAGUCUUUGGCUGUUGGGUUCAUUAAUAAUUCUGCUGGAGAUUUUUCAAGUUUGUAAUAUAGAAUUCCUGGUUAAAAGGUAAAAUAUAUUUGAAGAGUAGACAGAUCUUUUGUUGAAAAUGGGGAUGUUAUAUUUAAAAUACUUAGGCUUGUUGCUGGGGUAUGAAUCUGUCUAAGGGUUAAUGCUUUGGUUGCUGGGUUGAAGGUGUUCUGGGCAGCGAGGAUACCUGGGAGCUUAGGGUAGUGGUUAUUUACCAACUAAGAAGUGUUUAAAUACUUUAACCACUGGCACAGCAAUACCAGUGUGAACAGGGUAGUAAUGGAUCCAGGUUGAAAGCCUGGGUUUCACAAUACCCCCAUUCCUUUGGAAAAUCAAUAAAAAUUGACAUCAGUGAUGUAAAGUCAAAUUUGCUGUGCCAAGAUUUAAAAUUUUUUCUGGGAUAGUAAGAGCUGUAAAAUAAAGGUUAAAAUCAGGGCUUUAACCUAAAAAUGCCACACAGUCUUAAUCAUAAGUGUGUAUCGUAAAGGCCUAUGAAGUUUUCUCCAAAUUCAUGUGCCUAGGAAUUUUGCUAUUCCUAGGAUUGAAUUCAGUAAGAGUGGAGUGUGUUUCUGGAAUCUGUGUUUUUCGAAUACUCUCUAGAUGCCUCUGAUCCUGGCUGAAUUGACCAUAUUCCAUUUUUUUUUUGUUUAUUUGUUUAGUUUUUAUUUUUUUUUAAACCAUACUCUAUUCUCAGGAGGCCAAGGUCUAUAGACUGCCAACGUGAACUUCCUUGCUCUUGGGCUUCCUGAUGGGAACAGCCAAUGGAAGGCCUGGGCAGGGUAUGAGAGCAGGAAAGAAGGGGAGGCUGGGGAGGCUGGGACAUUUUAUUCCCUUGGUCCUCUCCUUAGGGGAUCCCUUUGGACUGGUUAUCACUUUUACCAAAGGUCACAGCUCUUUGGAAAGUGGUCUGCUGCAUAUGCCUCUUUCUUUCCAAGUUCUCAUAACUAUUCUGUCUUGGCCCCUUCCAGCUAAGAGGAGGGAACAGCUCUGUUGGUGCUAACAUUGGGGUCCUAUUAUAGCCUUUAAUGGUUUUCACAUACUUUCUGCAAACAAUCCCUUUAUCAACUCUCCUCAUUAUUAUAUUUGAUGGGGCCGUUUAUUCCCUGUGGGGACCCUACCUAAUGGAUACUGCCUUGUCCACUUCCCUAACUUUUGCUUGGACUUAGAGGAUCUUUAAGGAACUCUCUGUUACCAACCCUCUGACUCUAUUCAUGGCUCACAUAAGUCGAGGGGAAUUCUGCCAUGGCUGGUCUCCCCAAGAUUCAAGGAGAGAGAGGGAAAGACAGCUGGAGUUCUAACAUUGACCUUUAACAUCCUGCCUUGUUUGUAUCAAAUCUCUGAAAAAAGGUUAAUCUCAGAUGGCAAAGAACAAAUAAAUUGAGGAUAAUCCUAGGGACAGAAAAUUUAAGUGGAUUUUGUAAGUUUCAUUCAAAUGAUACCAUAUGAUUAAAAUAUAAAAGAGUUUGUUCCCAAGGAGAAACACUUGAAGAGGCCUUAACUAGGUCUCUGUUUGGCAGCAGAAUUUUAUGCCUCUCAGUAUUUGCAUGGUCAAUUAAUCCCUUAAAGUGAUGACUAGUAGGCAAUUUAUUUGGAUGGUACAAGAGGCUAAUUGGUAAUAUUGUUACACAAAAUCUUGUGGGCAAAAAUUAUGCCUGUCUUUUAAAAAAUGUGCCUUUGGUAUUUGAAGGGAGAACUUUAGUGCCUGGGGCCUCAGAGGAAUUCAGCUUGCUGAUGUCAGAAUUAAUGAAGAAUAUGGAAACUUAAGUGUGGGAUGGAUGGAGUGAAAAACGCAUUAAAGAUUAAUGACAUUAGACUAGUGGGAGAGCCACAUUUUCUGGUGAUCAAAGGCUCAGAGGCUUUUAUCUGCAAGUGCCUGGGAGAAUGUUGAACAUCUUGGAAUUCGUCAUAUCACCUAUGGUUAAAUUUUAUCAGCCUUCUAUUCAGCAAGCUACUCCAAGGAAAACCCCUACCCUCCAGCUCUGAUCUAUUCAUUCGCUUAACAAAUAUUUUUGAGGUACCUACUCUGUGCCAGCACUGCUACCAAAAAAAAAAAAAAAUCACCACCAACAAAAAAACCCUGAAGGCGUUCCCACUGUGGCACAGUGGGUUAAAAAUCUGACUGUAGCAGUUUGAGUCACUGCAAGGCCCGCAUUUGAUCCCUAGCUCUGUGCAGUGUGUUAAAUAUCCAACAUUGCUGUAGCUGUGGCAUAGAUCAGAGCUGUGGCUCGGAUUCAGUCCCUGGCCCAGGAACUUCCAUAUCCCUUGGGUGCCACCACCAACACCACCCCCCAAAAACACUGAUGAGUCAAAACACAUAGUGCCUUCUCUCAAGGAGAUUAAGUUUUCUUAAAUAGAGUAAGUACACAUUUACAUUCUGAGGUAGAGAAAUUACAUUUUUUUUUGUAAUGGUAUGCACUAGUAUAAAAUGAAAUCCUCCCAUUUCAAAAUAUCCCAGGAAUUGGACGAAAUGAAAUAGGAAACAUUUCGCAGGUGGAACUGAGCGGCUCCAAAAGUCAAUGAAAUUCUCAGAGACCAGGAAAAAAAAAAAACAAACAAAC
rnacentral:lncRNA from 1 species